CCUUCCCCAGCUGUGCAUCCGUCACUGUGGUAGGGUCACGUCCCUGGAGAGGGAAGAGGGAAGGGGCACUCCAGGAGGGGGCGGAAACCUGCUUUCUACUUAGAAGUCCUGGAGCUAAAUAGCAGGGGGGCUGGGAUGGAAAGGAAGAAUUGUUACAAUCCAUCACCCGCCCUUCCCCAAGCCCCGCCUCCUUAGGCCCGUGAUCCUAGACAGCGUGAUUUUUUUUAAAAGUCCAAACCUUUGCCCAGUUCUGGACACCAAGGCAGAGGUCCCCUGGCCUCAUCUCCCUGUUGGUUGGGGGGCUUCCGAGGGCAAAUAGGGCAGGAGCAGUGCCCUCAGCUGGCUGGAGGUGGGAGGUACAGAGGUCUCCUGGCUGCACCCCUGUGGAUUAUCCCACUCCCACAGGGAAGGUGUCCUGACUUUCUGAGAUAAGCUGCCGAGGUCCCUCCUGGUCUGGCUGGGGAGGCGGGGCUGGUGGGGGGAGAGAUGGCAGCAAAGGCUGGGCUACAUGGGGUAGCCUAGCAAGCCAGGCCCCGGAGGCCAGCAGCAGGGAUGUGAAGGGGGGAAACCUGGCCAGUCCUGCCCUCCGCCACUUGGCAAAGCAAAUGGCGUUCGCUCUUGUGUGCUCCCCUGUUUGGGAUCUUACUCCCACCCCAAAGGAUGCUGUUGGUGUUCCCAUCAGCCCCGUUUCAUCUGGAUUCCAGGUGAGGACUGGGGAGGAUGGUGGAAAGUGGCGGAUGCUUUACCUGCCUCAGGCCUGCAAGCCUCCCACCCAGCCCUCAGCCCUGCUGUCUCCUUGGGUCUCCUGGAUCGGUGGUCAGCCUGGGGGCUCCCUUCCCCAUCCGGACAUAGAACCUUUUUAUGAUUCUCCGCCAGGGGCCACAGCCACCGGCCCUGGGUGUAGAAGGUGCAGAACAGAUGGGUUAGUUCGGGCCUUGGGGUCGGCCCGAGGAGGGUCUUUGACCCUGGGAAUCGGGGUCCUUCCUAAGUUGGCUGGAGACCCUCGGUGGGGGGACAGCUAAGGUAGCUUCUGAGCGAGGUGGGAGGGAGGAGGGCAGAGGAAGAUGCCAGUGCCCGCUGCUCAGGUGCCCGACUGGGCGGAUGGAGAGCCCCAGACGGGCCGAGUGGGAACCGUUUGAGCAUCAGCAGCCGCUCCCAGGAAGGCUUGCUGGUGGCACCUCUCCCUGCUUCCCGCCCAGGCUGCUGGGAAGAGAGCCCCUCAGGAAGGACCUCCAGGAAAGGGGGAGGGUGGGGUCGGGCCUGCCUGGUCUUCACCAGUUGGUUUCCCAGAAGGCAUGCGCCCUGGGGGGUGGGGGUGGGGGAGGGAUUGGAAGUGGGUAGGUUCCCAGGGAAGGCUUUUUCUGGGCUGAGAGCCUGGCUGUGUCCCCUCAGAUGGCUGAGACCUGAAGUAGCUCCCCAGGGUCCCGUGAGGCUGUGAGGUAUAAGGGGGUCAAAGGGCACGGGAAUGCUCGUUGGUCCCGGGCUCUUUGUUCCCAACGCCCUCCCUUCCUUUGCUCCAGUGCUCGAAGGAGGGCCCCUUAGGGUUCCCCCGGCCCCCCAGGAGGAGGAAGUGUUUGUGCUGAUGGUGACGUUUUCCAGGGCAGGCCAGAGGAAGGCGGGACAGGACUGGCGGGCAGCCAGACCCCCUUUGACAGAGAUAUGGUUACAGAGAAUGACCUCUAGCCCAGGCGGUGAGCAGAGUGGCCGUCCGUCCGUCCGUCCGUCCGACAGCACCGACCCAGCCUGGCAAAUGAGCCCCGCUGGGGUGGGGAGCGAGGGCGGGUAAGCGGUCCCCGUAGGAAGUGGGGAGGCCCCCGAGCCCCUGGGACCUAGUUUCUUUUAGUGACCUCCCCAGGCUAUAGCUACAUGCACUGCACCCGUUUGCUUGCCUCUCUGCGUCUAUUACUUCUGUCAAUGUCAGUGCUAUUGAUAGUGUAAACAGGAGUGGACCCCCCGCCCCCCACUUAGUGAACUAAAGCGAACCCUGUGUGUUGCUCCUGGAUGAGAGGGAGGACCUGCCCACCACCAGGAGCCCCCUGAGGUCCCCCCGGGGGUGGGGACUCCCCUAGCUUUCACUCCUGCGCAGCCCCACGGUUGUAUAGAGAGCCUUGUGCUUGGAAAGCCGCUGGCCACAAGGACUCUCAUCUCUCCCCUUCCUUCUGCUGCCUUGGGGGGCAGUUGGGGACUUGGGGGAAGGUCUUGAUUCUGCUUUCUAGUAAAGGGACACAGAGACUUUCUGGGUAGAAUUGGGUUGUGGUUUGUGAUGACUUUGCCUUUUUGUGUUUAUAUCCCAUCCACGACCCUGGUUCUCCUUCCUUAUCCUGCCUUCGUGCUCCUGCUCCUGUCACCCCCUCCCCCCACACCCGCCACCGGUGGAGUGGUGGUGAGAGGAAACAGUGGCACAAAAGAGAAAUAUCCCCCCUGCACAUUGCCACCGCGUAGCUGAAGAGGCCUAAGUUAGAAACAAAGAAGAGCCACCGCUAGGUACUGUGUGAGGGAGAGCAUGAGAUGGAGGUCUCAGAGCAGAGUGGUGGGAGCAGGUGGUGGGAGAGGCGGGUGGGGCAUCUGUCCUCACCGCGUUUGGGAAAGGGAGGGGUGCCUACCCUAGUUGCCCACCACUCUGCCCCCUCCCCCCCCCAAGGAAAAUGUCCACUUUUCUUGCCUGCCGUGAGAGGUUACUGAGCAGGCUGGUACUCGCUGAAACACUUGGCAGGGCCCAGGCUACGGGCAGGGCAAUGCUCUGGAUCCCACAGGGACUGGAGAAAUAAACCCCAUCCUGACCCAACCUUCGCAUUGCUUUUCAGUCCUGAAACAGCGCAGUGACCUCUGAUCGCCAUGUCUCCGUGUACAUCUCUAGGCCUGUAGGUGAGGCAGACUUGGGGGUGCUUCUUCCAGGUGUGGGUACAAAAGAGGGGAGCCAUUUCCCCAGUACACCCCCAUCCUCCCACACGUCUUUCUUGUCUCUUUCACCCCAUGCUCCAGCUCUUUCUGAAACUCAGUCAUGAAAGAAUGGCCAAGAGCGUUGACCUCCCGCAAUAGAAAUGCCUGCUACCGAGGGUCUUCCCUUCAUACUCCCUGAACUCCCUCCUCAUUGGACUUCCUGCUGGCUGGACAGCUCAGCAUUUUGGCCCUGAAUGCUGGGGGACUUCAGACAGGGUCGAGGACUGAGGCAGGCACAGCUUUCAUGAGGUUAGAGGGGAGGGUGCAGACUUGGGAAGCUGUGUAACGGUCUGAAAAUGUCUCCACCGGCUUCUGUAAAAAGCAACCACAGCAACAGACAAGCGUCCCCACCCUCCACCCCGCUAACUGACGUGUGCCGUGACCGACGUGUGUGUGACCGUGGUCUCAGUGUGUCGUGUGUGCACUGCUCCUGCCUUCCGGGGAUGCUCCUUCUCCUGUGUGUCCCGUUCCCACCCUGUGGCUCCUGAUGUGCAAAGUGCUGUGUGUUUCUGCCCGGCCUACGGGGUGCAUCGAGUUCUCGGUGUUUCCGUCCUGGAGGGGAGGCCGUGUCGCAUCUCCCACGGUCCUGAGAGGAUGUGCAGGUUUGUGACUUCGCAGGGAGCUGCUUUAUGUGAGUCUCCAGGAAGAUCUCCAGGCUGGAAGCAGCCCAUGUCUGGAUUUGGACUCAGUGACCAGGACUCGCCCAGAGGCAGCGUCAAUGACUUCAUGCAGAGGGCUCCUGGAGGGGCAGCCCCAGAACCGGAUCCCUCCCGCUCCCCCUGCCUUGGCCACUGACCCUGACCCUGACCUGGUUCUGGGAGUGAGGCCUGGAGAGGCCAAAACCUGGAGCCACCUUGAGGGAGGCACUGGGCAGCCUUUAUCUGUCGAACCCUGGACAUCCCAGCCCUCUGUGGAGCCCCUGCAGGCUCACAAAGACUAAAUCACAGGCCCGCCCCGUCCUUGCUGUGGUUAGUAUCUUGUUCUGUGGUUGGUUAGCAGUGUUGGUGACCUUGUAGUGAAUCUUUUUUGUCUGCAAUUUAGAGAAUGUGUAAACAAAUAAAAGGCUUUAAAACUCA